GCAGAGACCCACACUCGAGCUGUGGUCCAGGACAGUUCAUCAGUCGAAAUGGAACAGCGCUGUCGGACACGGUCUGCUCUAACUGCACUGAAGGAACAUUUUCAAACGGCACCUUAACUUCCUAUCAGCCACACACAAAAUGUGAAGCACUGGAACUGAUAAAACCAGGAAAUGUUUCAGCUGAUCCUGAAUAUGGAGAAAACAUUUCAAAAUGGACAAUUGUUUGUGUGUCCAUUUCGAUUGUUUUAGUAAUUAUAGUAGUAAUUAUAGUAGCUGCACUAUACUGCAUCAGAAGGAAGAACUCUGACCGCAGAGAAACUGGAACAGACGAGGAGCUGAGGACCAUCUCAAACGGGACACUGAACAGCACAACGACCAACGUCCACAUCGGUGAUGGUGACAGUCAUCACAACAUUGAGCACAAACAAACCAAUGGGCUGCUCAAUGGGCUGGUCAAUGGUACUGUCUAAAUAAUAAUAAUAAUAAUAGAUUUUAUUUAAAAGUGCUUUUCAGGGUACUCAAAGACACUUUACAGAGAAGAACAUUAAAUCAUCAAAACAGUAUAAGAUAGUGCACUAAAAACACA